rnacentral:rRNA from 1 species
ACAGUCACACAUUAGAUACCCCGGUAGUCCCAGCCGUAAACUAUGCUCGCUAGGUGUCAGGGACGGUGCGACCGUUUCUGGUGCCGCAGGGAAGCCGUGAAGCGAGCCACCUGGGAAGUACGGUCGCAAGGCUGAAACUUAAAGGAAUUGGCGGGGGAGCACUACAACGGGUGGAGCCUGCGGUUUAAUUGGAUUCAACGCCGGAAAUCUUACCGGGACCGACAGCAACAUGAAGGCCAAGCUGAAGACUUUGCCGGAUUAGCUG